CAUAUCUUGUUGAUCAAUAUCUCACCUUUAACCUUUAACCUGCUGAAUCAUUAGUUCAUGUCGUCAUCAAGGGGAGGAGUGUAGUGGAGAUGCUAAAUCAUGGCUUGAACCAUUGGUUGAGCACCUGGUGGGAAGGCAAAGUCAGCCCAGGGGAGAUCAGGUGCAAGCAAUGCACCUGAGUGACUGGAAGGGAUGCAUCCUGGAUCCACCCCUUCCCAGACCUCAUUUAAGGGUUGGCAGUGGAGGUGAGGGCAUCUAAUCUGGUGAUCCCUAUCUUCUGCAUCUUGCAUGUCUUUCAAAGCUGAAACCAGGAAUGUCUAGAUGGAUUUUGGAAUCCUCUUCUUAGCCUUCAAGCAUUUAUUCCCUCUCAGGAGGAAGAAGAUGGUGGGGAAUGUUGUUUUACCUUUUCUUUUAGUUCUCACUUCUCUAGUGUGUUAUCACUACACAAUUAUUUAUACAAGUCUCAUUUAUGCUGAGUGUACUCGAACACUGAUUAUUACUGGUACAUGAUCUCAUCCUUAUCUCAUACUACCCCUUGUCCCUCUCAGGUGAAGAAAUGAGUUACCGGUGCAGUUGCUCUAAAUUAGCAACAAAUGUGAAAUGCCUAUUUUCAUUGAAUGAAAAUCUGUACCAAGGUUCUGUGGACUCCUCUGAAUGGUGGAAGCUCAUCAGGCAGUGGGUUGCACGUAGAAGUUCUGAAGCCGGCAAGAGCCAUUUCUUACCAGUUCCAGCAACACUUGACCCUCUCCCAUACUGGUACCCAGUACCUCCUGAUGCUCAUUCACUGGCCAUCCAUGCCCAGCAUGGUCCACUGUUGCACAAGAGACAUGUUUAAGGAUUACUGGAAUCUGCAUCCAUUAUUAUCAUUAUCAUCAACAUCCUUAUAGUCAUAACUAAUUGCACUGCUCUACCUUUGAAGUAGAACACCAGGAUAAUGUAACUCUCAACAGUGGGUUAUGUGCAUUAUUGAAAUAAUCACUGCCCCUUUGAUAUGGCUACAGUGCUUACUGCUGUCACAGCCUGAUUUUUUAAUCUGCUACAAACUCAACCAUGUGCCCCUGGAAAAUAACUUCCUGAGGGUUUAUAUUUCUGCAUAUCAUUAACAAUGUGUCAACGGUUUAUGGGCUGAUUUGGCCCGGUUCUGUGACUAGUGGGGUGGAGGGACCUGUGGGUCUGCGCCUCUGAAAAGGGGAAAAUAAAGGAAAAGAGAAAUGGGCCCCAGAAAUUACAGCGGCGACAUCUGAG
ensembl:lncRNA